GAUGAAUGACGACAAAAUGUUUCGGUUUCGUAUGAUAUGAUUAUUCCGUUACAUUUAUUUCUGAUACU
ensembl:snoRNA SNORD73 Small nucleolar RNA SNORD73